rnacentral:rRNA from 1 species
GACGAACGCUGGCGGCGUGCUUAACACAUGCAAGUCGAACGAUGAAGCCCUUCGGGGUGGAUUAGUGGCGAACGGGUGAGUAACACGUGGGCAAUCUGCCCUGCACUCUGGGACAAGCCCUGGAAACGGGGUCUAAUACCGGAUACGACCGCUGACCGCAUGGUUGGUGGUGGAAAGCUCCGGCGGUGCAGGAUGAGCCCGCGGCCUAUCAGCUUGUUGGUGGGGUGAUGGCCUACCAAGGCGACGACGGGUAGCCGGCCUGAGAGGGCGACCGGCC